AUCCCUAAACUCCCAUUAGCAUAUGAAUUAACCCCAGUAGCCACGUCUUCUCAGGAAAAAAAAAAAACCUUCUAUCACCCACGUUCUUAUUUUGUUUUUCUUCACAAAUAAAUAAAAAAAUGAAACUGUCUUCUCACGCUACUGAUUGAAAUCGUCUUCUGUGAGGAUAAGCUCCCUCGAUAGAAAUCCAGAGCAAGUGGUUACUUAUGUUGUGUAUUUUCUGUAAUUUCUGUUUUGAUUUUGAUUUGGAGAUGUUUGUGUGUAAGAAAAGCGAUUUGAUUCGCUUUCAACAAGUUUGAAAUUUGAUUUGCUUUAAAAAAGUUUGGAAUGAUAAUCUACAAGAAUUCUGGACUCUACAAGAGGAACUAGGAAGAGAACAUUGCUUUCAUGGAUUUGGACCAAGUUGAUGCAACCGACUCCAUGACUUUAGAGUUAGAUGCGUCCAUCCGUCGUUCAAAAUCUUUCAAGGUGUUGCAGAAUUUGAUCAGAACUGCCGCAAAAAGAUCAUUUUAACACGAUGGCGAAUUGGAAAUACGUUUUCCUUUUUUACUUGUGAUUUGUUUUUUCAUAUACUCACGUAAAUAUUUAACUUUAUUGGUUUAGAUUUCCUGUUCUAUCCAAAUCUAUUAGUUGA